ACAGCAGUCGCCGCGGUAAAACGUAGGUGGCAAGCGUUGUCCGGAAUUAUUGGGCGUAAAGGGCUCGCAGGCGGUUUCUUAAGUCUGAUGUGAAAGCCCCCGGCUCAACCGGGGAGGGUCAUUGGAAACUGGGAAACUUGAGUGCAGAAGAGGAGAGUGGAAUUCCACGUGUAGCGGUGAAAUGCGUAGAGAUGUGGAGGAACACCAGUGGCGAAGGCGACUCUCUGGUCUGUAACUGACGCUGAGGAGCGAAAGCGUGGGGAGCGAACAGGAUUAGAUACCCGAGUAGUCCCUGUCUCUUAUAC
rnacentral:rRNA from 1 species